GAACUGGAAAAACAGAGGCUUGGAAGCCAGAUGAUACAAAUGCGGAAAUGCAUUGCUUUGUCAUUGCUGAAUGAACCCCCAUCUUUAACUCCAGCUCCCUGCAUUUGGGGUAAAUAAUCUCACUGAGCAACUUGAUUAGGUCUAAGCCACACAUUUAGUUUUUCCUAAACCUUCUUUGUCACAGCUGUGAAGAUGUGAACAAAACAUCUACACAAGUGACUAGGUGUACCCAGCCCAGCCUCACCUGAUGUAACCUUCAUCAGAGAAGCAGAAGAUGCCUGCAGACUGCCAAUUGCAUGGAACCAGCCCCAGGCUAAACAGUGACUGUUUGCUAAAAGGCUGUUAAGUCUGCAAAGGAGCUCAUCCCUGAAGCUGGGAUUCCAGGCCCUGAGACAAACUGGAAUAAGGCUUGGGGCCUGGAAUUCAUGACACUUCUGGAGACAUGAAGUACCUUCAGUUUCAGAAAAUAAGAAGCAUGUGAAUCUCCUCUUGGGAAUUUGGAACAAGGGCAGAGAUUUCUGAGUGCCUCUGGAGUGUCUGAACCAGGAGGACACACAAAGACUAGGGAAGCACCCAGCACAAGUUGCUCUUCAGAGAGAGAAGAACAAAGACGCUUGGAAGGGAACUCAGAAAAGAGACCAUUCUCCCGUCCAGAUUUGGGGAAAGUGUGCCUGCCUCGAUUUCCAACUAUUUCCCAAGUUCUGUUCCACCUCUCUUAAGGACAAUGGUGUUCCUUACUCUUGAAUGCAUGUGCUACCC
rnacentral:lncRNA from 10 species